AGUUGUAUUGCUGGUUCACAUGGUAGAUGCAUGUUUUACUUUUUAAUGAAAUUUACAAAGUAUUUUCCAAAAAAUAAGAUAUACCAUUUUACAUUCCCUACAGCAGU
rnacentral:pre_miRNA from 1 species